CGUCUACGGCGAGCGGCGAGCGGCACAAAGGGCCGGCGCGGGGGCGGGGCGGGGGGGCGAAGCGCUCCCUGCCCUUCCCCGCAGAACCGGGGGCAGGUGAGGGAGAGCCCCGGCCGGGAACUGCUCUUCUCGCUUCCCUGGCUGCGCCGCCCGCCUCCCUUCCCACCGCCUCCCUUCUGCACGAAGCGAACCCCGUUGUCAACAUCCCGUUGUCCCCAGGAACUAGACCCUCCUUCCCAGUCCCAGGAGGCAAAGGUUCAACGAUCAUUCAGAAUCUCCAGUGGAGGAAUCUUGAGGACCACGCACCUAUAGUUGAAUCCCCACCACCAUCACUGGAUGACUUACCUGGCGUGGAAGCACCAGUAUCUGCAGCCCAGCCAUCUGUAGUGGAAUUGCCAGUAUCUGCAGAGCCACCACGUUCUGAUCACUUCCUGCUCAUUGUAUAGUCUGCAUCCAGGGAAAACUCACCUGAGAUCAGAUCACCUGUGAGUGAACUUCCAGGUUUCAAAGUCAAGAUGCACACCUCUGAAUCCACACAGGAUGGCAGUAACACCGUUGAGAAUGUGUUGUCAGCAACAGAGAUUACAUUUGAAUCAUUGGAGAAUCCAGAGGUUUUUGGAGACCCCUAUCAAGUCGCCAUGAAUUAUGCGGAGGAACAUAAAAUUCUACAGAUAUUUCAGGAUAUCACAGAAAAACUGCUGUUCCAUAAGCCUGAUGACCCCUUGCAGUUCAUAUUGCUGGAGGUGCAGUCUAUGAUAAAUGCCAGGCAAGCAGAAGCGGAGAAACUAUCAGACUAGAACAAAGAUGUGAAGUUGUUUCUAGAAGAGGGCUUGUGCACUCCUUUUGGCCCCCACUGACCUUGCUGUUUUGGUAUUGCCACGCCAUGCCUUCACAGCACCAUGUAGUCAUUAGCAAUAACUUGGAAAAGAUCUGCUUUUCUGUCUCUUGCCUGGUUUCUCUGUUUUCUAUGCUUGUGCAUCCCCUUCCCUUGGGUUUAAAUCCUGCAGCCAGGUUUUGGUUUGGAAUCACAGACUGAGAUCUAAGUGUGCAUGGAUCUUCAUACACAUAUGGCAUAUCUUGAAGAGGCAGGUCUGCUGAACUUCUAGGCAUAUAAAUGCAUAAAUCUCAUAUUUAGUCCUCUCCACACUCUGCCUCUCUGUGCAAAGAAACCUCACAGCUCAGACAAUGCAAGGACAAAGGCAAGUAGAGUUAAAAAGCAGCCCUGGACAACCCAGAGCAUUCUUUUUUCAUGCUGCAUCGGUGGCUUACUGUGUCCAGUUAUGCAGCAGCACCAAUGCCUAUCUCAUACUUUGAUAGUUUGUGUCUGGGCUUUCCCACUGCCCCCAGAGCUCCUCUGAUGCUAGAAGCUGUCUCUUUGCCUCUUCCACACACUGGAUACAGCUGUCUCACCCUAAAUCAUCCCUCUGGACACUGAUCACUGUGUUUUUUGGGGUGGCCCUGCCUGUAUCAUUGUAAGAACAGUGUAUAGCCAGAACAGUAAAGCAACAGUUGCACACACCCUUUAUGCUUUCAGGAGACAUUUUCACUCAGGAAUGUGAGAGGUGAAUAAAAGCAAGCAAACCAAAACCA
ensembl:lncRNA